UGGGGAAUUUUGCGCAAUGGGCGCAAGCCUGACCCAGCAACGCCGCGUGAGGGAAGAAGGCUUUCGGGUUGUAAACCUCUGUCCUUGGUGACGAAAAAAAUGACGGUAGCCAAGGAGGAAGCCCCGGCUAACUACGUGCCAGCAGCCGCGGUAAUACGUAUGGGGGCGAGCGUUGUCCGGAAUUACUGGGCGUAAAGGGUGCGUAGGUGGCCUUUUAAGUUGGAUGUGAAAUCCCCGAGCUUAACUUGGGUGGUGCAUCUAUACUGGAGGGCUAGAGUGCAGGAGAGGAAAGCGGAAUUCCUAGUGUAGCGGUGAAAUGCGUAGAUAUUAGGAGGAACACCAGUGGCGAAGGCGGCUUUCUGGACUGUAACUGACACUGAGGCACGAAAGCGUGGGGAGCAAACA
rnacentral:rRNA from 1 species